AUUUUGGUAUAAGUAUGUUCUCUGUGAUAUUUGGACAUACUUAUGCUAAAA
rnacentral:miRNA from 1 species